GAGUUUGAUCCUGGCUCAGGACGAACGCUGGCGGCGUGCCUAAAACAUGCAAGUCGAACGAGGGGAGCAAUCCCUUAGUGGCGAACGGCGGAGUAAUACGUGAACAAGCUGCCCUAGAGUCUGGGAUAUACAGCCGAAAGGCUGGGCAAUACCGGAUAAGCCUAUCUCCUGGCAUCUGGAGAUAAGUAAAUGGUUUUUCGCUCUAGGAGGCGUUCACGGCCUAUCAGGUAGUUGGUGGGGUAAUGGCCUACCAAGCCGACGACGGGUAGCGGGUCUGAGAGGAUGGUCCGCUCGAGUGGGACUGAGACACGGCCCACACACCUACGGGUGGCAGCAGUUGGGAAUCUUGCACAAUGGGGGAAACCCUGAUGCAGCGACGCCGCGUGGAGGAUGACGGGUCUAGGCCUGUAAACUCCUUUUCUCGGGAAAGACUUAGGACGGUACCCGAGGAAUAAGGACCGGCUAACUACGUGCCAGCAGCCGCGGUAAGACGUAGGGUCCAAGCGUUGUCCGGAUUUACUGGGCGUAAAGAGCGCGUAGGCGGCUCGUUAAGUGUAGAGUGAAAUCUCUGGGCUCACCCCAGAAACUGCUCUGCAUACUGGCGAGCUGGAGGGAUGAAGAGGCUUGUGGAAUUCCUGGUGUAGCGGUGAAAUGCGUUGAUAUCAGGAGGAACACCCAUGGCGAAGGCAGCAAUCUGGUCAUCACCUGACGCUGAGGCGCGAAAGCGUGGGUAGCAAACAGGAUUAGAUACCCUGGUAGUCCACGCCCUAAACGAUGGAUACUAGGCGUAAGGGGUAUCGACCCCCCUUGUGCCGCAGCUAACGCA
rnacentral:rRNA from 1 species